UGGGGAAUUUUGGACAAUGGGCGAAAGCCUGAUCCAGCAAUGCCGCGUGUGUGAAGAAGGCCUUCGGGUUGUAAAGCACUUUUGUCCGGAAAGAAAUCCUUGGCUCUAAUACAGUCGGGGAUGACGGUACCGGAAGAAUAAGCACCGGCUAACUACGUGCCAGCAGCCGCGGUAAUACGUAGGGUGCAAGCGUUAAUCGGAAUUACUGGGCGUAAAGCGUGCGCAGGCGGUUUGCUAAGACCGAUGUGAAAUCCCCGGGCUCAACCUGGGAACUGCAUUGGUGACUGGCAGGCUAGAGUAUGGCAGAGGGGGGAUAGAAUUCCACGUGUAGCAGUGAAAUGGCGUAGAGAUGUGGAGGAAUACCGAUGGCGAAGGCAGCCCCCUUGGGCCAAUACUGACGCUCAUGCACGAAGCGUGGGGAGCAAACAGGAUUAGAUACCCUGGUAGUCCACGCCCUAAAGCGAUGUCAACUAGUUGUUGGGGCAUUCA
rnacentral:rRNA from 1 species